GAGUGAGGGAGAAGAGAGGAGGAGGAGGAGGAGGAGGAGGAGGGAGGGGGGACAGCCUCCCAUCUUAACACACUCGAGUAUAUUCAAAAAGUGAGAGGCCCAGAGCAGCAGCAGCAGCAGCAGCAGCUCCAGCAGCAGCAGCAGCAGCAGCAGCUCCAGCGCCUUCCUUCCCUCCCUCCCUCCUUCCUUGCUUCCCUCCCUCCCUCCCUCUCUCCCCAUGAAGAAGAGUCCCCUCCUCCUCCUCCUCCUCCUCCUCCUCCUCCUGCUGCUUCUCCUGCUCAGAGUUCCUGCCUCCAGCUGCCAGGGGGACAGCCAGCCAGCAGCAGGAGGGGAGAACUUACCUAGGUGCACGUUACAGAGGUGUCAGAGGGUAACAAGAUUUCAUGGACCUGGAGGUAAAGAACUUUUGAGAAAAGACGUCUCCAUGGGCCUACGGAAGCCUCAGUGGUGAAGUGGUCCUAUUUUUCCCACUUACUACAUUGUCCUCGCUCCUGCCAUCCUGGACUCAUCCAUGUGGGUAACUGCCACGAAGAUAGAUGCCCACUCGCCUUGUGUGGACAGCUCUCAGUUCUGCCCAGUAGGAGGUGCUGCAACGACAGAAGGCCAUUUCUUCUGCUGAAUUUUGAGCUUGGCCUUACCACUCGUGUUCGGCAUCUGGGCCAAAGGAGUGACAGGUUAACAUUCAGCUCAGAGUUCCAGGAGUGCCUUCAGGGGACCAGAGAGCUGAAAGAAAGCUGGCUUUUCUGAAAGUUGCUGCAGUGAGAAGACAUUUAUCAUUUUGAAUAAAGACUGAAGAAACUGUAGAAUUAGCA
rnacentral:lncRNA from 1 species